rnacentral:rRNA from 1 species
UAUGUGAUCGUCUCUCGCAUAUCAAUAAGCGGAGGAAAAGAAACUAACAAGGAUUCCCCUAGUAACGGCGAGUGAAGCGGGAAGAGCUCAAAUUUGAAAUCUUAAAGGGUUUCCCUUUACGAAUUGUAGUUUAAAGAAGUGUUUUCUGUUGAGGUUUUGGUAAAAGUUCUUUGGAAUAGGACAUCAUAGAGGGUGAGAAUCCCGUAUUUGACCUUUACUUUCAACUUUGUGAUACACUUUCAAAGAGUCGGAUUGUUUGGGAAUGCAGUCCAAAAUGGGUGGUAAAUUUCAUCUAAAGCUAAAUAUUGGCGAGAGACCGAUAGCGAACAAGUACCGUGAGGGAAAGAUGAAAAGAACUUUGAAAAGAGAGUUAAACAGUACGUGAAAUUGUCAAAAGGGAAGCGUUUGACACCAGUGUUGUUUUUCUGAAAAUCAAUUAAAGAACUGUUUAUGCUAAGCUGUUUAGACUUUAUCAGCUAUCUGUUUAGUUUUGAGCUUUUCUUUAAUGCACUUUUCAGUUAACAAGUCAACAUCAAUUUCUUUUGCUGUAAAAAAGCUUGAGGAAGGUGGCUUGAGAUUCGUCUUAAGUGUUUAUAGCCUCUUGCCUAUGCAGUCGGAGAGAUUGAGGUCUGCAGCGUAGAUCCUUCGGGGCUAAAUGCAUUUGUGCUAAGUUAUAACAUUUUAUAGACAACUUGUUGACUAUGAUUUGUCUUGUAGCUUACUCGCUUAUGUUAUUUUACCUACGCUUAGGAUGUUGACACACGCGCGUGCUCG